CGAUUUACUUCGGUAAGAGCGGCGGACGGGUGAGUAACGCGUGGGUAACCUACCCUGUACACACGGAUAACAUACCGAAAGGUAUGCUAAUACGGGAUAAUAUAUUUGAGAGGCAUCUCUUGAAUAUCAAAGGUGAGCCAGUACAGGAUGGACCCGCGUCUGAUUAGCUAGUUGGUAAGGUAACGGCUUACCAAGGCGACGAUCAGUAGCCGACCUGAGAGGGUGAUCGGCCACAUUGGAACUGAGACACGGUCCAAACUCCUACGGGAGGCAGCAGUGGGGAAUAUUGCACAAUGGGCGAAAGCCUGAUGCAGCAACGCCGCGUGAGUGAUGAAGGCCUUCGGGUCGUAAAACUCUGUCCUCAAGGAAGAUAAUGACGGUACUUGAGGAGGAAGCCCCGGCUAACUACGUGCCAGCAGCCGCGGUAAUACGUAGGGGGCUAGCGUUAUCCGGAUUUACUGGGCGUAAAGGGUGCGUAGGCGGUCUUUCAAGUCAGGAGUGAAAGGCUACGGCUCAACCGUAGUAAGCUCUUGAAACUGGGAGACUUGAGUGCAGGAGAGGAGAGUGGAAUUCCUAGUGUAGCGGUGAAAUGC
rnacentral:rRNA from 1 species